UACGUAGGGAGCAAGCGUUGUCCGGAAUCAUUGGGCGUAAAGCGCGCGUAGGUGGCCCCAUAAGUCCGCUGUGAAAGUCAAAGGCUCAACCUUUGAAAGCCGGUGGAUACUGUGGGACUAGAGUACGGAAGAGGCGAGUGGAAUUCCUGGUGUAGCGGUGGAAUGCGCAGAUAUCAGGAGGAACACCAAUAGCGAAGGCAGCUCGCUGGGACGUUACUGACGCUGAGGAGCGAAAGCAUGGGGAGCGAACAGG
rnacentral:rRNA from 1 species